rnacentral:rRNA from 1 species
AAGGACUUNNGUCCUUGGCAGACGGCUCCCUAACACGUGGAGAACCUGCCCUCAGGAGGGGGAUAACCCCGGGAAACUGGGAAUAAUACCCCAUAGGUCUAGGAUGCUGGAAUGCUUCUAGGCCGAAAGCUCCGGCGCCUGAGGAUGGCUCUGCGGCUUAUCAGGUUGUAGUGAGGGUAACGUCCUCACUAGCCUAUGACGGGUACGGGCCCUGAGAGGGGAAGCCCGGAGAUGGACUCUGAGACACGAGUCCAGGCCCUACGGGGCGCAGCAGGCGCGAAAACUCCGCAAUGCUCGAAAGAGUGACGGGGGGAUUCCAAGUGCCUACGCUCAGCGUAGGCUGUUCAGAUGCCUAAAAAGCAUCUGGAGUAAGGGCUGGGUAAGACGGGUGCCAGCCGCCGCGGUAAUACCCGCAGCUCGAGUGGUAGUCGAUUUUAUUGGGCCUAAAGCGUCCGUAUCCGGUCUGGUAAAUGCUUGGGUAAAUCGUGGGGCUCAACCCUACGAAUUCCNGGUAGACUGCCAGACUUGGGACCGGUUGANGAAGAGGGUACUUCAGGGGUAGGAGUGAAAUCCUG